AUACACUGUCAACUGAAAAUAUGCUCCAACAAAUGUUUACUUGUUACCGAUCGUUUCUAGAGCAAGUGGCAAAAAAUUUGAUGAUUCUACCCAUCUAUCAAAAAAAAAAAACAAUUGUUUACCUUUUUUUUAUUAUUUCCUGUGUAAUUAUGCAAACAUAAACACAUGGCAAAAUUUAACUUGUAAAGGAAAAAAAACAGUCUAAUGAGUGGGAAGCUCUAGUAGGCAUAGUUUUAACUAUUACAGUCACCGACCGUCACUAGAGCAAGUGACAAAAUGGUUGGUGGUUGGUACCCGAUAUUCAAGUUCGAAUCCUAGUUUAUUCACAUUUCCAACUAAAUUUAUUUUUAAAUGAAAUAAACGAAACGAGUAACAUGCUACCAAUCUCUCUCUUUAAAAAAAAAAAAAAAACAAAAUAGUCACAGAUAAAACAAACCUUUCUAAAAUAUGUAUAGCAAUAUAU
rnacentral:lncRNA from 1 species